rnacentral:lncRNA from 1 species
UUCCCCUAUCUACGUGAUCUCCAGUAUUGCCCAUAGGGGCCCUCACAAAACAGCUACAUUCCUCAAAUGUGGGAGAACUGAGGUUCAGUGCAUGGAACACCUGUGGCCCAGGGCUUUCGGUUUUGGGAAAGAGCCAGUCUCAAGCCCACGUCUUUCAAUUUCUCUUCCUCCUCUCUCUCUACAAGUGCGCGCCUUGACUAUCAGAUUAUGUGAAAUAUGGACGCAAAGGCAGACAGACUCCUUUUUGACCAUACAAGGCUUGUGCUGAGCUGCAAACUUCUGAGAAACCCUUGCCAUGGCAUUCUGAGUCCUGAGCAAUUAUCUGAAAAACCAUCUGCCCCAUCAGCAGUCACUAUGUCCCCAUACUGACACAAAGUUUUCCAUCUCCAAACACCCUAUUUAGUACAAAAAAUUUUUUCCGCUGCAUUAUUAGCACUCAGAUCAAUCCCCGCUAACUUAAACAUAGCCAAACAAGGCAAAAUGGCAGGGGCUGAAUUUGCAAGCCAUCUAUCUCCAGUCCCCUUGCUGGCUGUCUUGGAAAUUAAUACCUUUUAUUAGUGCAACCUCCCAGUUUAUAGUUAUCAAACAAUAUGCAAUUAUCAACACAUAUUAGCCAGGCUAUGUGAUGCUUGAGCUUGCUUUUCCACUAAUAGAAAUGCUGCCGUUUCUAAAUGAAUUACAGAGAGGAUGCAUGGUUGCCAAAAUAAGUUUUUAUCUAAAAGUGAAAGUUUUACAACCAAUUAUGCAGCUCUGUGAUGGGAGAAUCAGAGGGAGAACUGUGGCCCCCAUCCUCAAAGGCCCUUGGGGUGAGGACAACGAUAAGAGCCCACAACACUGGACACAUGACGAUGGCCCCAAUGCUCGGGCCCCUGAAGCAGUGGCUCUCCUCCCAGAGCUACCACUACUGCACUGAUGGCCCAGAGCCACUCAGAGAAAGGGCAAGGAUGCAGCUGGCCUCAAAUAAAGAGGAAUUCCUUUUUUUUUUUUUUUUUUUUUUUGCUUUCUAGUGCCGCAAGUGCAUAUGUAGGUUCCCAGGCUAGGGGUCAAAUCGGAGCUACAACUGCCCGCCUACACCACAGCCACAAGAUCCAAGCUGCGUCUACGACCUACACCACAGCUCACAGCAAUGCCAGAUCCUUGACCCACUGAGGCCAGGGAUCAAACCCGCAACUUCAUGGCUCCUAGUUGGAUUUGUUUCUGUUGCAGCACAAUGGGAACUCCAAGAAAUUCUUAAAAAAACAUACUUCCGGGUUCACUGGGAGAAUACCACACGGCUCCAGAAAACUAGAGCCUGGGAGAAUUCUUAAUGGAAAUUCUAACAUGCUCCAUUCACCAGAUGCUGUACUUUUUACAGAAUGUAGGAACCUGCCUACUUUAUUUGGGUGGGAGUUUGAAAAUCUAGUGUCUUUCAAUUUUCCUAAAUGAAAGAAAAGAGACGAAAGUAUUUUUUCCCUAUGUAUGCAGAUAGUUGGUGGAUGAAUCAACUAAAGAAGGAAAAAAUAGAGAAGUUAAAGCUACAUGUUAUAAAGUCAGAUGAACUCACCAUAAUAUAUACAUCAAUAUGCAUUCAAAAUCAAAGUAUGUUCAGGCCUCAUCAGAGAGAUGGCAUGUGCUAGGCAAUAGCCAAAGAACUUGUACCCAGUAGAGGAGUUUAAAGUAAGAAAUGUUACAGAUUCCACAUUUAGGGGUAUUAAAAAAAAACUUACAAGGGAUCCUCUUCCAAAGGCCAUGACAUAUGCAGAGAAUAUGUGAUUCAAAAGGACUCAGACCACAACAGCAUGACACUAGAAAUCAGCCACAGAAAGAGGAAUGAUAAAAGGUGGACUCAGGAAGAGCUGGAGCCAAGGCCCAGGUCCCUCACACAUGGGUUGUGAGACCACCAUAGAGUAAGUGACUUCUCUAGGAGUCAGUUUCUCCAUCUCAUAAGAGAGUCACAUCCCCCCCCCCCUUUUUAUGACCACACCUGUGGCAUAUGGACGUGCCCAGUCCAGGGACUGAAUUUGAGCUGCAGCUGUGACCUAUACCGAAGCGGCGGCAACUUGGGAUCCUUAACCCACUGGGCCACAGCAGGAACCCCUCACAAGUGAGACUCUUGAUCACACUGCUAAUUUCCUGUGUUGCACCACAUGGCACAAAGUGAAGGCUGAAUAAUCCUCACUGAGUGUUCAGCUGUGGAUAAACCUGACUUGAACAUCAUAAGACAAGGAGCCGGCAGCAGCAAUCCUUAGCAAGCCAACAUGCCCAACCCAGGGUCGACGUCUUUGCUCUCCCUUCCUUGCUCUUGACGAAAGCCACCCGGUACUAACUUCAGCUGCAAAGCCAAGCUCUCAGAGUGCAGGCAACAUACUGCCCGUUCCUUAUUGAUUUUGAGCACAAAUAUUUUCCCACCAGUAUUUAUUUACUCUCCCCCCUGCCACCAGGUUAAAUUACAAGUUCAACCAAACUCUUGAAACACAUCAUGUAAACUUCACGGAACAGUUUUGGACCCCACACAACGUGGGUGGCCUAAAUUCUGCACGCUGUCAAAACUGAUGAUGUUUAUCCAGAAAAUUCCCAGGGCUCUUUCCUCAUGAAAGGUGCCAAAGUAUUUAGCUCUCAAUCUGAUAAUGAUCAGAUGGAAAUCCAUGCUUUUCUGACUGAGACUCUUAGACUAUCUCCCUCAUGACACUACCCUCAAAUAAAAUAACCACAGUGGGGUUCAGGCAAGCCAACGAUUUUGUGAGAAGGGUUUUCUUUGUCUUUGUGUUUUCCCAUAAUAACAGAACCUAAGCAUGUAUAAAUUAACCUGGGCAGGGCAGAUUCAAGAUGCUGAGAGAAAAUGGGAAAGGGAAUACCGGUGUGACAUAACGGGACAUAAAUCACAGGAUUCGGACCAGAAAAGUGUUCACACCAUAUAAACAAUCAUUAAACCACCAAGGAACAAGUCUUCUCUUAUCAGGAAUAGCCUCCUCUAGAUUCCAGGUCUGUAGUUUGGAAAGAGAAAUUGGAGGGUUCUCCAGGUUUGGGCUUCUGUUUCUAGAAAGAAUAAUUCUUCUUUCAUCCUUUCCCCCUCUCCAAGUAAAGGGAGGGCAGGAGAUGAGAACACAGAAGAAGGAAUAAAAAAGAGCUACCUGACCGCUUUCACUCUUUAAUGUGUAAAGGUCCUUCGAGGGAAUCAAAUGUUUCCCUUCUCCCUAGUGGAUCUUGCACCCAUGAAGAAGGAUGCAUAUUCUCCUGGAUUUGCAUCUUCAAAUGGUGCAGAGGGCAUGACAGCCAGUGUUAGCCAGUGUGAGUGGAGAUGGAUGAGGCAGGCCUGAUGGCUGCAGAGCUGGUAGCCUGGGAACAGGCAUGGACUGGAAAGGUCCUUCCCAGUCUACGUGCGGAACAGGUGGAGGAGGAAACAGCUAUUACACAGCUCCAGGUAAUGGCUGAUGACUAAGAAUCUGAGACGGGGGGCUGCCACAACUUCCAACAUGUCAGCCAAUAAAAGACACUGAAAUUUUUUUCCAUAUGAAACAUCUCAGUUAAAGUCAGCAACGAAUUCAAAAUCAAAAGGCUUUAGAGCCAAUACAACGAUCAGUCUUUAACUACUGAACUACAGUAUCCAUACCCUCUGGACUGCAAUCCCCUUCAUGGAACCACCCAGGCAUAAACAAGAAUUUAUUUCGUAUCCCUCUCCAUAUCUGACCCUCGAAGAGGGGUAAAAGUCCAUCUCACAUAAGGUUAAUUUUCUUCCUUCCUUCCUCCCUCCCUUCCUUUUCCUUUUU